rnacentral:rRNA from 1 species
CGUCUUAGUUCGUGGAGUGAUCUGUCUGCUUAAUUGCGUUUCACUAAGGGCCCAUAAAUUCAAGGUAUGUUAGCUAUCGUUUCUCAAUUGACCCCUUGUCUUCGAUAAGCGCGUGUCUUUUAGAGUUUAAACAUUGCGCAUGCUGUUGGGUCCUGAAAGCAACGAACGUGACCGCAACGUCUUAUUGCCUUUAUCUUGUUAUAUUCUAAUUUAAUUAGGAAUAACUAACAGAGGCUAAUUUAAAAUUAGACGGACCGCUGUACUUUUCUUAAACCAGAGGAAGGUUGCGGCAAUAACAGGUCUGUGAUGCCCUUAGAUGUUCCGGGCUGCACACGUGCUACAAUGAUCAGUACAGUGAGCAUCUCAAUAUUAUACACCGUAUUAAGCGCUUAGUUGCGAUUAUUGGCCCAUUAUUGGGUCUUUUAAUUGUAUUUCUAAUGCGCGCGGUAAAGCCUGCUUCGAGAGUAAGUGGGUAAUCCAUUGGAAGUAAUGAUUUCUCUUUUUAUAGCACACCUAUAUACGGCAUUCAUUCCCGGGACGACUAGUUUCGUCUUUUUUGUGCGAAUGUAAUGUAUUCUUUAUCCGUAUGUGCGAUUGUCAAUUCAU